UACGUAGGUGGCAAGCGUUGUCCGGAUUUACUGGGCGUAAAGAGCGCGCAGGCGGUCGUUCAAGUCGAGUGUGAAAGCCCCCGGCUCAACUGGGGAGGGUCACUCGAUACUGAUCGACUCGAAGGCAGAAGAGGGGAGCGGAAUUCCCGGUGUAGUGGUGAAAUGCGUAGAUAUCUGGAGGAACACCGGUGGCGAAGGCGGCAUCCUGGACCGGUAUUGACGCUGAGGCGCGAAAGCGUGGGGAGCAAACAGG
rnacentral:rRNA from 1 species